ACAAUCUUUGGAAAAAGACACAAGCACACCUUUUUGAGACCGUUAAAUCGUUAAGUCUGGGAGGGGAUGCUCACCUGGACACACAGCAAAGUACAGCUCGUCCUUGACUUAAACCGGUCCUUGAUGCACAGCUUGUUCAGGAGGACCAUGGACAAGACUUGAGGAUGACAAACUUUAUGAUCUACCAAUUGGAACAAUAGUAUACCAGUUUCCUGAUACGAAGUAUUUUUGACUGGAGUGUAUAAAGGAUUAGACUGUUGAGGAGAUGUAAACAGCAACUCCGCUGCAAAAAUCUUAUGUAAAGAAUGCAUUUGAA